AGCAAAAUGGCUCUCCUACACGAAGAAUAUGAAGUUAUAUUUUAAAUGAAGCGAUUUGGACCGACUUGACAACCUCCUAACAUCAAAAUACCAGUGAGGUUAACCCGUGUAGUAUGUUGAGAACACCUCUACCCCAAACACCUCCCUUUGAUGUGGUCCAGUGGUCUCAUAGUCGGUCUACUUCGCUUCGUGGAAUCUAAGCAUUUUUUUUUACACGCCAGCGAUAAAUAUCUUAUCGUCUGUAGUAUUCCAUCUCUUUACUCUGUAAUGGGUUCUUGGUGGGAAUGUGGCUGUUAUUACCAUGUAGAUUACGCUGGAGAUGUUUUCUUAUAAAUGGUCUCCAACAAAGGUCAAAGGUGCUCCUACUCCAGAAGAGACAGCAAAUAAAAAAUGAACUGAUGUAUGUACAUCACGUGAUGAAUAUAUUCCACCGCAAUGUUGUUGGUUAAUUCUUGAUCCUGUCUUGUUUUUCGGAAGACCAGGCUUCGUUAAAAACUAAGGAAGCCUGUUUCAUUGUUCCUCUCCAUUUCUUUCCUUUCUAACGUCCUUCUUAUCUUCUAUGACUAGCGGAGUGGAAGCUCUUUAUUACUUUGACUGAUCAUCAAAUUUUCUAGUCUCCGACGCUCCAGCGUCAGUCAAAACUCAAUACUAAUAAAUAUUACGAAAUAAGAAAAGAAUCGCUAAAAAAAUAUUUCUGACGAAGAGUUUUAAAACGAUUGAAGAAAAAAAAGCGAAUAGUUUUCUGUGAGUGGAGAGUCUUCUUUAACAGGAAUUUUUGACUGCAUUCCCUCAAGGAGUCAAUGAGUUGAAUGGAAUCUAGGAAAGCAGAAUAACUUGAUACUAACCUUUAUCCUCUUGAUUUCAAAUAAGUGUAAAAAUACACAUGAUUAUAUAAAAAACAACUAUAAUAAUACUCUAUCGUGUAUUCCAGCUGCUGUACUGAGCUUGAAUUAAGCACGAACUGACCGUAACGUUAUAAAACUCUUGUCCUGCCUGACAAAAAAGAAGAAGGUGAAAUAUUGAGUCUACUCUCUAGCUCUCUCUCCAUAAAUUUAGCUAACUGUUGAAAUAUUAAAUCUUUGCUCCAUGCUUUGCAGAUGAGUCUUCAAUUUUCGGUUCUCUGUAGGUAAUUUAAAUAUUUCGUAAAAAUGACACAAAAUUGGUAUUUGGUACUUCACUUAAAAAAUAAAAUGCUAUCCAUGAUCACGUUUGAUUGAUCGAGUUAAGAACCUCUGGGUUUACGUCGUAAGCUAGUACACAGUUCUGUAAUCCAGUUAUUUCCUAUUUCCUCAGCAAUUAUUAUGUGUUUUUUAUCGCUGGGGUUCUCUCGUCAUGUGGCCUGGUGUAACCAAAGAUAUAUCCACGUCCAUAUGGUGUACCACGUGGGUAACGGUCAUAAUCGGAACCUUAUCCUUCAACAUGUAUAGCCUUGUACAUUGAGUUCAGAUUCUUAUAUAGUCUUAUACCGGUCCUAACACUCAAUAAUGAUCAAUAAUGAUUAAAUAGAAACUCGAUGUGAUGGCCUUUAUAUCGGUUGUUGACGCGAAAGGACGUAAUAUAUAUGAAGAUACCAAUAAGUUAAUGUAAUUAAAAUAAUACUCCAUCGUGUAUUCCAGCUGACUGCACUGAGCUAGAACAAAACACGAACUCACUGUAACGUUGCAAAGCUUGUCCGGCUACUGAAAGUCUUCUUUGCACACUCUUCUGCUUGUGUGAACGCUGAUAUUCUUAAUUUAACUUGAUAAAGAUAACUCGAUGAUUAAGAUAAUAAAGGUAAUUCAUCACCGUGAAUGAAUGAAUUGAAUACAAAAUUUAAAAAUGUUAUGAUAACCUGGUCCCGCCGCAAAUCCUGUCAGAACAUCCCGCUGCCACACACAGAUUGUCUGAUAACAUGUCUUGAAUGGGGUAUUCUUUUCCAAUAUAAGUUUAAUGUGACACUCCAAGACUAACUUGACCUGAUGUUAUUCCACCCAUCACACGCCUUCAAGCCCAUUUGGUGACAGAUGUCGUUGCAUGUGUGACCAGUGGUCACUGACCACUAAUCAGUUUAUUUAUAGCACCUUCUUCAAAAUUUGCAUUGCAAAAAAGAUCACAAUGCCUGUCUAGUUUAGUGGAUCCAGUUAUCAACGUGGGGUCCAUGAGGGUAUCCCCUAUACCCUGUAGGUCAGCGGCAAAUAAUAUCAUCACACACACUCUGGCCGUUUUUACCACAUACUAUAAUCUAUAGAAUAAUGUAAUAUUAGACAUAUUCUGUCUUAGAGCUAAAAGGUUUGGGACUGGGUUCGGGAGCUGGUAGGUCUGCCAGAAGCUCAUCUAAUUCCUGUUGAAUGGCGAAAUUUAGUGGCGAUGAUCGUUUCCUCCUUUUCAUUUGCUGCACGCCGACAGCCUCCUUGAACAUCAAGCAUUGUCUUCCGCGAUCUAGGUUUCGUCAUCUCUUUCAUCUUAGUGACUUCCGUCUCUUCCUCAUAUAUGUUCCUUCCUUUUCAAUAAUGUUACAAAUAUGUAUAUAUUCAAUAUGUCAAAAGAUAAAGACAAUACAGAUCUAGAUGAUAGAGAUGAUAAAAAUAAUAAAGAUGAAAAAUAUGAAAAAGAUGAUAAAGAUCAUGAAAUAAUAAAAUAGUAAAGAUAAUGUAGAUAAUACAGAUGAUACAAGAAAUAAAGAUAAUAAAAUAACAGAGAUUAUUAAUAAAUUGAUUGGAUCCUGCUCUACUCAAAUGGUGGAAGAAUGAUAAACAGCUCUGCUCGUUGUGUUACAAG